ACGAACGCUGGCGGCAUGCCUAACACAUGCAAGUCGAACGAAGCCUUCGGGCUUAGUGGCGCACGGGUGCGUAACGCGUGGGAAUCUGCCCCUUGCUUCGGAAUAACAGUUAGAAAUGACUGCUAAUACCGGAUGAAGUCUUCGGACCAAAGAUUUAUCGGCAAGGGAUGAGCCCGCGUAGGAUUAGGUAGUUGGUGGGGUAAAGGCCUACCAAGCCGACGAUCCUUAGCUGGUCUGAGAGGAUGAUCAGCCACACUGGGACUGAGACACGGCCCAGACUCCUACGGGAGGCAGCAGUGGGGAAUAUUGGACAAUGGACGCAAGUCUGAUCCAGCAAUGCCGCGUGAGUGAUGAAGGCCUUAGGGUUGUAAAGCUCUUUUACCAGGGAUGAUAAUGACAGUACCUGGAGAAUAAGCUCCGGCUAACUCCGU
rnacentral:rRNA from 1 species